AACGAACGCUGGCGGCAUGCCUAACACAUGCAAGUCGAACGAGACCUUCGGGUCUAGUGGCGCACGGGUGCGUAACGCGUGGGAACCUGCCCUUAGGUUCGGAAUAACUCCCCGAAAGGGGUGCUAAUACCGGAUAAUGUCUUCGGACCAAAGAUUUAUCGCCUUUGGAUGGGCCCGCGUUGGAUUAGCUAGUUGGUAGGGUAAAAGCCUACCAAGGCGACGAUCCAUAGCUGGUCUGAGAGGAUGAUCAGCCACACUGGGACUGAGACACGGCCCAGACUCCUACGGGAGGGCGGAGGGGGGGAUAAUGGACAAUGGGCGAAAGCCUGAUCCAGCAAUGCCGCGUGAGUGAUGAAGGCCUUAGGGUUGUAAAGCUCUUUUACCCGGGAUGAUAAUGACAGUACCGGGAGAAUAAGCUCCGGCUAACUCCGUG
rnacentral:rRNA from 1 species